UGAGGAAUAUUGGUCAAUGGGCGAGAGCCUGAACCAGCCAAGUAGCGUGCAGGAUGACGGCCCUAUGGGUUGUAAACUGCUUUUACGCGGGGAUAAAGUGCGUGACGUGUCGCGCAUCGCAGGUACCGCGUGAAUAAGGACCGGCUAAUUCCGUGCCAGCAGCCGCGGUAAUACGGAAGGUCCGGGCGUUAUCCGGAUUUAUUGGGUUUAAAGGGAGUGUAGGCGGCCUGUUAAGCGUGUUGUGAAAUGUAGAUGCUCAACAUCUGAACUGCAGCGCGAACUGGCUGGCUUGAGUACACGCAACGUGGGCGGAAUUCAUGGUGUAGCGGUGAAAUGCUUAGAUAUCAUGAGGAACUCCUAUUGCGAAGGCAGCUCACGGGAGUGUCACUGACGCUUAAGCUCGAAGGUGCGGGUAUCAAACAGG
rnacentral:rRNA from 1 species